UCCCUAGUGGCUCAGCCAGUAAAGAGUCUGCCUGCAAUGCAGGAGACCCGGGUUCAAUUCCUGGGUUGGGAA
rnacentral:tRNA from 1 species